rnacentral:pre_miRNA from 12 species
CCUGUUGCUGCAGACAGUCAGAAGUUGGUCUGGCGUGAGAUUAGAUUCUCAGAUCAUCUCUUGGCUGAUGCCAGCUACCAGG